ACUCAAAUGAAUUGACGGGGACCCGCACAACUGGUGGAGCGUGUGGUUUAAUUCGAGACGAAGCGAAAAACCUUACCAGGGUUUGACAUGCUACCGUUUAUACCUAUGGAAACACUGGUAGAUCCGCAAGGAUGGUAGUACAGGUGAUGCAUGGCUGUCGUCAGCUCGUGCCGUGAGGUGUUCCCUUAAGUGGGGAAACGAGCGCAACCCGCGUCUAAUGUUACAUUUUCAUUAGAGACGGUCCCGAUUAUAUCGGGAAGGAAGGAGCGGAAGACGUCAAGUCAGCACGUCCCUUAUACCCUGGGUUACACACACCCUACAAUGGCGAAGAACAAUGGGCCGCAAGCUGGUAACAGCAAGCAAAUCUCAGAAAUUUCGCCUCAGUUCAGAUUGAGGGCUGCAACUCGCCCUCAUGAAGUCGGAAUCAGUAGUAAUCGCAGAUCAGAAGGCUGCGGUGAAUACGUUCUCGGGUCUUGUACACACCGCCCGU
rnacentral:rRNA from 1 species